GUCAGUUUCUGUUGAGGAGAAGAAACAGGUGAGACAUUUCCUCUUACCAUGCUGGCCCUGCUGGAAGAUUCUCCACUUGGAGAGACUCAAGAAGCUGCCCAAGGGGACACAGUUCAAGAACGCGGAGGUCCGAGCCCCCAGGCUGCCUGUCCCCUACCCAGCGGCAGUGACAGCAUAACCUAGCAGAGUCCCACGAAGCCCAGACAGCAUCCUAGACGGACACAGCCCGGCCCAGAGGACCUUCAUUUAAAUCAGGGAUUUGAAUUUUCUCAUCUGCAAAAUGGAGAUAAGCCUGCACGCCCUGCCCUACACUGAGCAGCUGGAGGGCAGGACACAGACUUCAGGGCCCCCCCACCCCUAAGGCCUUGCUGUGAUGGGGAGACCGCCUGCCCACCUGGUAAGCCUCCUGCUGCGGGGGGACCCGCCCAUGGUCGAUCACCUGGGACGGCAGGAAGUGGAACUGGAUGUCCGGAUGGGGGACCCCAGGCUGGCUCCGGAUGAAGCCCCCUGUUUCCAGAUGGGCCGUGGCUCCAUACCCUGAGGAUCAGAAGACGAUGAGGAGGCAGAAGAGCAGUCCUGGCAUGGCAUGUGGGUCAGACUCCUCUCUCUGGGUAGUUCCGCCUCCACUUCCUGGCCUGUGUUCCAGUACUGGACCCACGUCCUCAACUUUCCUCUUUCCCCAGGUGGGCCCACCCAGCACCAUGGCUUUCAGUAUCAACUCCAUGCCAAGAGGCUGCAGCUUUGCCCCCCUCCCGACUCCACCACUGCCAACGCGACUGUGGGACUUGAUGUCACACGGGCGUCCCAAACCUGCCCCAGCCCCACCCCCGCCUACACUACAGUAGUGUCACUGCAAGUCAGGAAACACUCUUCCCCAUCAGCCCCCACCACAUCUGUUAGAAGGUCUCCAUCUUCAGCUCCAAAAUCAACUUCAGCCACCUUCUCGGCACUACCACCCACACCCCAACCUCCAUCCAAGCCCCCAUCACUUAAGUGGUGGUGGCUGGUGCCCAGCCUCUUUGUGCCUCCUGCAGCCCGCCCAUCACACACAGACCGCGAUCAAGGUCAAGUCCCUCCUCCAUCCAAUCUCCCAGUGUUGUAGGAAGGGGGAACCCCUUCUGAGGCCCAAUAGUAGGCUCUUAUCUAAUUCUUGGAAGUGAUUCAUCAGAGGAGACACACAUUCUGACAGAGCAAAAGACUUUGUUGGGAAGGACCACACCCCCCAACCCAGGCUGGAGAGCAGCAGGGUGAGGGACCCAGGAGAACUGCUCUGCCACGUGGUUCGCAGUCUCGGGUUUUCUGGGAAUAGGGUUAGUUUCGGGGUCAUCUCUGGCCAGUCAUUUUGCUUGGCCCAUAGUCUGACUCUGGGUCCCUCUUGGUGGCAUCUGCAUCUCUUAGCCAAGAUGUUGAAGGAUUGAAGGAUUCACUCAACCAGAGUGAAGGAUUCUGGGAGGCUGGUCUUCUCCUCCUGCUUUUGGCCCCUCUCCUGAAUCCUCCUGGUUAUUUUUCAGUGGCAGCACCGUGUUCCUUCUUGACACCUCCUGUUGUGAGACAGCUGAGGAAGUGGUCAUCAUGUGCCUGGCCAAGGCAGGUGGUUUCGGUCUCAGGCCCUAGAAGAGGUCCUCCUUCCUGCAACAACUGACUGGUAGGAAAUCUUCUUUGCUACGACUGACUUCCUGACCAUCAGGGAUCAGCUUGCAUGCUGAUGGACCAGACCCAGCAGCCAGCACUGGGACCCUUUAAAUGUCCCUGGCCUCCUCCUGAUAUGCACGACUGGCCAGAGCUUCCUAACCAGAGGCAUUCACAUAAAAUGAGAAGUCUCAACAGCCGAGUUAACAUACCUCUUGGGAGAAUGUGGGAGGGGCCGAAAGAGGGAGGAAACGAUCAACCUCCCCGAACCUUCCAUUCUGGAGUCCACUCUGGCUGCGAGACGUGCACGUCACCAGGAAGAACCACAAGGCAGAUUAUCAGCCAAGCAAGACGACCAGCCAGAGGCAACCCAGAAACUAACUCCUCACCUUGAAACCUGAGACCGUGAGCCAUGUAGCAGAGCAGUUCUCACGGGUUCUCUUCCCUGGCAGCUCUUCAACCCAGGGGCCCCUUCCCAAUAAAGUCUUUUGCUGUGUCAGCCUGCUUGUCCCCUCGGACAACUCAUUUCCGAGCGCCCGCCCUGGGGCCUUGGCAGGCCCUGCCACACCUGCACCGCCGCCGCCUCACUGCAGUUUCCCUGGCCAACAGAUUUGUUCUUCAAACACACCGAACGCCUGCCCCCAGGGCCUCUGCAUGUAUUCUUCCUGCCUAACAGGCCCCACGCCACCAAUCUCUAGUUUAACACCCUGAUUAUUCCUUCACUGUA